GUGGGUAUAGCUCAUUGGUAGAGUAUAUGGUUAGCAAGCAUGAGAUCCAGGGCUCAAUCCCCAGUACCUCUA
rnacentral:tRNA from 1 species